rnacentral:rRNA from 1 species
ACAUGCCUACAACAUAGCAUUAAUGCACCAGAUCCCAUUAGAACAUUGCAGUUAAGCACGCUUGAACUAGAGUAGUACUAGGAUGGGUGACUACUUGGGAAGUCCUAGUGUUUUACAUGCC